rnacentral:rRNA from 1 species
AAUGUCUGGGAAACUGCCUGAUGGAGGGGGGUAACUACUGGAAACGGUAGCUAAUACCGCAUAACGUCGCAAGACCAAAGAGGGGGACCUUCGGGCCUCUUGCCAUCGGAUGUGCCCAGAUGGGAUUAGCUAGUAGGUGGGGUAACGGCUCACCUAGGCGACGAUCCCUAGCUGGUCUGAGAGGAUGACCAGCCACACUGGAACUGAGACACGGUCCAG